CAUUGAGCACUUCCCAUUCUAUUACUGCUGCCAGAUUGAACAGCUGAAACAUGUCUUCUCUCUGCACACCACCACUCACCUAUAAAGAGCUUCAAAAGCAGGGCCCUAAUGAUGCUUCAGCGUGGUUUAGAUUGUAGGACUCAGAAGGAGGAAAAUACAAGUAAUCUACAGAUACAUCUGAAACAAUGGCCAAUUGGAUGAGAUAUUCUACGCAACUAGCAAGGUGGAACUGUAACUUGGAAGGAAAAGGAAUCAAAGCAACAAAGAGGAGAAAAUAACAUGAAAGA